GAUGAACGCUAGCGGGAGGCCUAACACAUGCAAGCCGAGCGGUAUUGUUUCUUCGGAAAUGAGAGAGCGGCGUACGGGUGCGUAACACGUGUGCAACCUGCCUUUAUCUGGGGGAUGGCCUUUCGAAAGGAAGAUUAAUACUCCAUAAUAUAUUGAACGGCAUCGUUUAAUAUUGAAAGCUCCGGCGGAUAGAGAUGGGCACGCGCAAGAUUAGCUAGUUGGUGAGGUAACGACUCACCAAGGCGAUGAUCUUUAGGGGGCCUGAGAGGGUGAUCCCCCACACUGGUACUGAGACACGGACCAAACUCCUACGGGAGGCAGACGUGAGGAAUAUUGGUCAAUGGGUGCAAGCCUGAACCAGCCAUCCCGCGUGAAGGACGACUGCCCUAUGGGUUGUAAACUUCUUUUGUAUAGGGAUAAACCUACCCUCGUGAGGGUAGCUGAAGGUACUAUACGAAUAAGCACCGGCUAACUCCGUGCCAGCAGCCGCCGUAA
rnacentral:rRNA from 1 species